rnacentral:tRNA from 1 species
GCUGUCUUAGCUCAGCAGGCAGAGCACUUCCUUGGUAAGGAAGAGGUCGGCGGUUCGAGCCCGCUAGACAGCUCCA